CAUUAAAGAACAAAAAUAUUUACUCUUGUUAUUCAUAUUCCAAUAAGAGGCCGUCUGGUCUGGAUUUUAGGAAAUAUAAUACAUAAUACACAGCUGCUGCUAGCAUUAUUUUGUAUACCUCAGCCCUGCUUCUUCUUCCUUUGCACCAUGUUUCAUUAGAUUUCUUAAAAAGGUUUGUAGCCAUGGUUGGGUUGCAAUGAGAUUAGUGCACUCUUGAUUUGGGCACUAUGACAUAAUUGCCCUCAUAUGGCACAGAAUCCGAACAUGCUAGAACUUGAACCGGGCGGUACUUUGGGGAUAGGGGUCAUAAACAUUGGAUAUUGUGCCGUUGAUGGGGAAAGAGGUAUUCAGAGGCUACUUGUGUAUGAAUUCAUGUCAAAUAAAAGUCUGGAAGAUCAUCUUUUCAGUACAGCCUUUCCAGUUCUUUCUUGGCAAAGAAGACUGCAAAUAGCGCUUGGAGCAGCUCAAGGAUUGGCUUAUUUGCAUGAAGAAUUGGAAGUUCAGGUAUCAUUGAUGAGCAGGUUCGUGAUACGCCUAUGACUUGAGAGAACUUGCUGCUUUCGAGACUAUUUGUAACCAAAACAUCGGAGUGUGAAGUUAAAGAAGACGAAGCUUGAGAUCUUCUUCUCAUCUCUUCAUUCAAAGCACCACUCUUAGCAUUUCCAUAGUUACACAUCACUGGGAGCAGAAUUAGUCAAAGAAACUCGAAGAGUUUCCCAAGAGUUUGGCAGAGUAUUAAGAAGCCAAAGUCCCUGUAUUUCUUCAUCAAACUUGACACUCAUUCCAGACAGCUGAUCAAGUACACCCUGAAAAUCAUUGAUAUGAUCAGAAAUAAGGCUGCCCUUUGUAUCUAAUAUUCAUCAAUUGUUUAAUUAGAUACAACUUAUUAUUGCCAGUCUUUGAAGCAUAAAGUGUCUUGAGCUUUUCCCACAAGCUUUUAGCAUUUGUCUCAUUCACAAUAUGAUUUCGAACAUUAUCUUCAACUCAUUGCCUAGUAUAGCCACAAACAUGUAAGUGCUCAAAUUCCCACUCUUCAUCUUUAAUAGUCUCGGGUUUCUUAGAAGCAACACAUGUAAAUGCAAUUUCUUGACAAAUAGAAGAUCUUUCAUCUUGCUUUUCCAAAUAUGGUAAUUACUGCCAUUUAAACAAACCAUCUUGCUCAUAUUUGCCUCCAUCAUUCAAAUAGACGAUCAACACAACCAAAUACAACCACAAGCUCUGAUACCACUUUGUUGGGGAAGAAACAAGCAAUAACCAAAUUGCACGACGAGGUAACAGCGAAAGAAAUACCUAAGUCGAAACUUCCCACACUAUUUGAACCAAGAGAAGACAAUAAACACUAGCACAAAUGGAAAUCCAGGCAACAGCUAUAACAACAAUAAAAUAGCAAAGAAAACAAAAAUAAAUCGAAUGGAAGAGACACCAAAUUUACGUGGUAAAACCCCUUCGAGGUGAAGAGGAAACAUCCACGGGACCUCCGGCCCACAAAAGCUCCACUAUAAUCAACAAGAGUUACAACAAUGUUCUCCAAAUAGCUACAACAACAAAUCCAAGCACGGAGCAACAAUACAUAAAAGAUAGCACCAAAACUAGUGAAGAAAGGAGAGAAAGGCCUAAAAUCUACAAAUAAAACUA